rnacentral:rRNA from 1 species
CGAACGCUGGCGGCGUGCCUACUACAUGCAAGUAGAACGCUGAAGAGAGGAGCUUGCUCUUCUUGGAUGAGUUGCGAACGGGUGAGUAACGCGUAGGUAACCUGCCUUGUAGCGGGGGAUAACUAUUGGAAACGAUAGCUAAUACCGCAUAACAAUGGAUGACACAUGUCAUUUAUUUGAAAGGGGCAAUUGCUCCACUACAAGAUGGACCUGCGUUGUAUUAGCUAGUAGGUGAGGUAAUGACUCACCUAGGCGACGAUACAUAGCCGACCUGAGAGGGUGAUCGGCCACACUGGGACUGAGACACGGCCCAGACUCCUACGGGAGGCAGCAGUAGGGAAUCUUCGGCAAUGGGGGCAACCCUGACCGAGCAACGCCGCGUGAGUGAAGAAGGGUUUCGGAUCGUAAAGCUCUGUUGUAAGUCAAGAACGGGUGUGAGAGUGGAAAGUUCACACUGUGACGGUAGCUUACCAGAAAGGGACGGCUAACUACGUG